GGUUCGAUGGUGUAGUUGGUUAUCACGUCUGUCUCACAUAGGGUCCGAACCCAUUGAUGGCCACAGGAGGUCUCCGGUUCGAGCCCGGGUCGAACCA